CGGACGGGUGAGUAAUGCUUGGGAAUCUGGCUUAUGGAGGGGGAUAACUACGGGAAACUGUAGCUAAUACCGCGUAGUAUCGGAAGAUGAAAGUGCGGGACCGUAAGGCCGCAUGCCAUGAGAUGGGCCCAAGUGGGAUUAGGUAGUUGGUGGGGUAAAGGCCUACCAAGCCUGCGAUCUCUAGCUGGUCUGAGAGGAUGGCCAGCCACACUGGAACUGAGACACGGUCCAG
rnacentral:rRNA from 1 species